rnacentral:lncRNA from 1 species
GCAACCCUGCGGGCUAUUAAUAAUUCAUGGGUCUUUCUUAGUUCACAACAGGGCAUUACUCCGAGGGCAUCGCUCUUAUUGAGAGAAGUUAACUGCGAUGGGCAGAUAAACAACACACAAGUCAAACAAGAAGAAGUCUCCUAUGAAUUUUGAGGACAUUAAAUGUCUGUUAAAGAUCUCCAACUACAAUAGCCAUAAAAAAAUUGCUGGGCAUUCUUCAGGAAUACAUCAAUAAGGAAAAGGAGUAGUUUUUACUCAUUAGCAGAACUGAAGCCAAUUUUGAAGAGGUUAGUCAAUAUUCAUUCUAGACCAAACAAAACCCUGCCAGCUUAA